rnacentral:tRNA from 1 species
AAAAUUUAGUUAAAUAUUAUAACAUCAACUUGUCAAGUUGAAAUUACUCAAAAGAGCAAUUUUUA